AACGCUGGCGGCACGCUUAACACAUGCAAGUCGAACGAAAAUGUUUCACCGUAGCUUGCUACACCGAGACAUUUUAGUGGCGGACGGGUGAGUAACACGUGAGGAACCUGCCUAUCAGAGAGGGAUACCGUUUGGAAACGAACGUUAAUACCUCAUAACGUAACGAGAUCGCAUGAUAAUGUUACCAAAGAUUUAUCGCUGAUAGAUGGCCUCGCGUCUGAUUAGAUAGUUGGUGAGGUAACGGCUCACCAAGUCGACGAUCAGUAGCCGGACUGAGAGGUUGAACGGCCACAUUGGGACUGAGACACGGCCCAGACUCCUACGGGAGGCAGCAGUGGGGAAUAUUGCACAAUGGAGGAAACUCUGAUGCAGCGAUGCCGCGUGAGGGAAGAAGGUUUUCGGAUUGUAAACCUCUGUCUUCAGGGACGAUAAUGACGGUACCUGAGGAGGAAGCUCCGGCUAACUACGUG
rnacentral:rRNA from 1 species